UGCAGAGUGGAGCAGCAGCUAGCUCGUCUGGCUCAUAACCAGAAGGCCGCCGGUGCAAGUCCGGCCUCUGCAACCA
rnacentral:tRNA from 1 species